GGUUGUGGCUCAGCGGCAGAGCGCUUGCCUAGCACAUGCAAGGCCCUGGGUUUGAUCCUCAGCACCA
rnacentral:tRNA from 1 species